CCUAACACAUGCAAGUCGAACGGGAAGCGGUGCAUAUUCGCUUCGGUGAUAAUGUGCCGUGGAGAGUGGCGAACGGGUGCGUAACACGUAGGUAACCUGCCCUGAAAGGGGGGAUAACCACGGGAAACUGUGGCUAAUACCGUAUAAUCUCGCCGUGGCGGUGGUUACGGUGAGGAAAGCUGAGGCGAUUUGGGAGGGGCCUGCGGUCGAUUAGCUGGUUGGUGGGGUAAAGGCCCACCAAGGCGAUGAUCGAUAGCUGUUCUGAGAGGAAGACCAGCCACACGGGAACUGAGACACGGUUCCGACUCCUACGGGGGGCAGCAGUGAGGAAUAUUGCGCAAUGGGGGGAACCCUGACGCAGCAACGCC
rnacentral:rRNA from 1 species